GACGGAGGGUGCAAGCGUUGUUCGGAAUUACUGGGCGUAAAGGGCGCGUAGGCGGGUUUGCAAGUCCGGGGUGAAAUCCCACAACUCAACUGUGGAACUGCCUCGGAUACUGUGAGUCUCGAGGGUGGCAGGGGUAUGCGGAACUAUCGGUGGAGCGGUGAAAUGCGUUGAUAUCGAUAGGAACUCCGGUGGCGAAGGCGGCAUACUGGUCCACUUCUGACGCUGAGGCGCGAAAGCCAGGGGAGCAAACGGG
rnacentral:rRNA from 1 species